AUGCCGUGAGACAAACAACUGUGGCUAUUAUGAGGUGUGAGAUGUGAACUGCAGCAAUUUCAGCUGGAGAUGCCCUUCUCCCUUAGUUUGUGAAUAUCCUUGAAUAGCCUGAGCCCAAAGGAACUGGGAUCCUGCUAUUACUAGGUUUAUUUCAUUUUCUUAUUUGGAGAACUAGGGGUGCAUUAACAAAAAAAAGUAAGAAAAAUAAAAUAAAAUAAAAUAAAAUAAAACAAAAAGUUAUGCAUACACAUUUUUGGUUUGGCUGUUGAGGAAAAGCAAGUAUUUGCAGGUCUGUCUCAGGAGAAGUUACAUCUUGGGGGAAUAUUGCUGUUUCUCGGGAGGAGGCUUUUGUUCAGUAGUGCUAUACUCCCAUGGAUAACUCAGCUGACGUCUGCAGAGCCAGAUUUCCCUGCCUUGAAAUCCAAAUUCCCCUUCCUUGAAACCAAUAGCAAAACUCACUGAGACCAUUUGUUCAGGAUGCAUGCAAAGGGAUUUCUGCCGGGCUCUCCUCUGCCUGCUCCAAACUGAAGACAAAAUGACUGCCUGUCUGAAUACAGCAGACGUCUCAGAGAUGUAAAUGUUGAGCACACCUGAAUCAAAGCCACAGCACAGCUGAAUACAGUAUUGUAUAAAGAAAAUAUUGACUGUCUUUGUGUUUGUUUGUUUUUUGUGUAGGGGGUUGAAAAUACUAGUGAUGUUUAAACACCUCUUUAGAGUCAUUACAAGAUAUUGUGCAAAUAUAGUAAUUUUUCUCCAGUAAACAGGCAUGAAAUACACGUUUGCUUAUCAGAAUGAAACAGUUCCAGGGGAGGCCGUGAAGUCUGUCAGGUGAAUCAUCUCAUCUCCAGCUUUGAUGUAUUGAAGGGGGUAAAUAAGUGACUUUUUAGAGAUGUCUAAAUAUACAUUUCCCUGGGAGAGCUUUUUCAAUCGCUAGGAUAAAUAAAUCAUGCCUAUAUAAA